UACGGAGGGUGCGAGCGUUGUCCGGAAUCACUGGGCGUAAAGGGCGCGUAGGUGGCGCGGGCAGUCAACGGUGAAAGUUCGGGGCUCAACCCUGAAUCGGCCGUCGAUACUCCCGGGCUUGAGCACUGUAGAGGCUAAUGGAAUUCCGGGUGUAGCGGUGGAAUGCGUAGAGAUCCGGAAGAACACCGGUGGCGAAGGCGGUUAGCUGGGCAGUUGCUGACACUGAGGCGCGAAAGCGUGGGGAGCAAACAGG
rnacentral:rRNA from 1 species